rnacentral:snRNA from 1 species
GUACUUGAUUUCGGCAAUACAUGUACUAAAAUUAAAACAAUAUAGAGAACAUUAGCCAGGCUCCUGCACAAAGAUGAUAGUGCAAGAAGAAAAUUCAUAUAUCAAU